rnacentral:tRNA from 1 species
GGACGGGUGCGGCGAAUUUGGUAAGCCAGCAGAUUGCUAAUCUGUAGCCGUCAAAAGCGGCUUGUGGGUUCGAGUCCCACCCCGUCCG